GCAGACAUAGCCCAGUGGCAGGGUGUGUGUGUAGCACACACAAGGCCCUGGGUUCAAGUUCCAGCUCUACA
rnacentral:tRNA from 1 species